rnacentral:rRNA from 1 species
ACGCUCGACACCUACGGGAGCAGCAGUGAGGAAUAUUGGUCAAUGGGCGCUAGCCUGAACCAGCCAAGUAGCGCGAAGGAUGAAGGCUCUAUGGGUCGUAAACUUCUUUUAUAUAAGAAUAAAGUGCAGUAUGUAUACUGUUUUGUAUGUAUUAUAUGAAUAAGGAUCGGCUAACUCCGUGCCGANAGCCGCGGUAAUCUGAGCGGGCUGGCAAGGC